UACGUAGGGUCCGAGCGUUGUCCGGAAUUAUUGGGCGUAAAGGGCUCGUAGGCGGUUUGUCACGUCGGGAGUGAAACUCAGGCUUAACCCUGAGCGUGCUUCCGAUACGGGCUGACUAGAGGGAUGCAGGGGAGAACGGAAUUCCCGGUGUAGCGGUGAAAUGCGCAGAUAUCGGAAGAACACCCGUGGCGAAGGCGGCUCUCUGGACGGUACUGACGCUGAGACGCGAAAGCGUGGGAGCGAACGAGG
rnacentral:rRNA from 1 species